rnacentral:rRNA from 1 species
GACGAACGCUGGCGGCGUGCCUAACACAUGCAAGUCGAGCGAGUGAAUCUCCUUCGGGAGUGAAGCUAGCGGUGGACGGGUGAGUAACACGUGGGCAACCUGCCUCAUAGAGGGGAAUAGCCUUUCGAAAGGAAGAUUAAUACCGCAUAAGAUUGUAGCUUCGCAUGAAGUAGCAAUUAAAGGAGCAAUCCGCUAUGAGAUGGGCCCGCGGCGCAUUAGCUAGUUGGUGAGGUAACGGCUCACCAAGGCGACGAUGCGUAGCCGACCUGAGAGGGUGAGCGGCCACAUUGGGACUGAGACACGGCCCAGACUCCUACGGGAGGCAGCAGUGGGGAAUAUUGCACAAUGGGGGAAACCCUGGUGCAGCAACGCCGCGUGAGUGAUGACGGCCUUCGGGUUGUAAAGCUCUGUCUUCAGGGACGAUAAUGACGGUACCUGAGGAGGAAGCCACGGCUAACUACGUGCCAGCCGCCGCCGUAAAAC